UUUUUUUUUUUUUUUGAAAAGAUACAAAGUGAAAAUUUAUAUUCUAUAUCUUCUAUAUUUUUAGUUAUAGAUAUGGCCAAGUCUCUUCAUUUAUGCAAUUUUCUCUUAAUCACCAUGCUUGUUCUUAUUGCUUCAAGUAAUAAUAAGGUGGAUGGAAAAAUAUGCAAGAUUGAGAUAGAUUAUUGCCUCAAUAAAGGACAUGAUGAUUUAUGUGAACAAGAAUGUACUAAGAAUUUCCCUCAAAGCAAGUCAAUAUGUGAAGUAGUACCUCCUCCGGCUAAAUAUUUAGCUUGCAAAUGCAUUUAUCAAUGUUAAAUUAUGUAUUAUUAUCAAUUUAAUAAUAAGAUUUAUUUAUUAUUUUACCUAAUAUAUAUCAAUUAAGUGCCAUUAUCAAUAUAUAUUGAGUGACUAUUUAAUGGUUA